AACAAACAAAAACAUAAAUCAGAUUAACUGAUAACAUUCAACAGCAUUAUUAAAACAAAACUUGCACGAAGCCAAAUUUUAUUAACAAUCAAAAAAGAUAAAUAGAUGUGUUUUAAACAUGUUUGAUUCAGUUUUGAUUAAAAAUGGAUUUAUACAUGAAAAAAGAAGUUUUUAAUAAUGCCAAAGUUACAAAUGUUUCUGGAUCAUCAUGCGAUCGUUGUCCUCAUCCUGGAGGGUGGAUCGCCUUAUGGUCUGAACAAGUCAACCGAAAACCUAGAGUAUGUUCGAUAUUUGGUUGCUCACGAAAUGCUGAAGUUGGGGGGCAUUUAUGGAUAGAAAAACGUUCAAGAAAAUAUUGUUAUAUUGCUCCAAUCUGCAACGUGUGCAACAAUCAAAGACAUGACGCGAAUACUUAUUACAAAACAAAGAGUAAUAUUGCUUACCUAAAAAUGGAAACUAAUGAUUGCAUUCUUAAACGAAAAUAACAAUUAUAUAAGCAAAUGUAAAUUAAUUAAUAAAAUAAUAAGUUUAAACAAA